rnacentral:tRNA from 1 species
GGUCUGGUAGUUCAGUUGGUUAGAAUACAUGCCUGUCACGCAUGGGGUCGCGGGUUCAAAUCCCGUCCAGACCGCAUUUAAAAAAAAUAAACUACUCUA